rnacentral:rRNA from 1 species
AGCGAACGCUGGCGGCAGGCCUAAAACAUGCAAGUCGAGCGCUCGUAGCAAUACGGGAGCGGCAGACGGGUGAGUAACACGUGGGAACGUACCCUUUGGUCCGGAACAACCCAGGGAAACUUGGGCUAAUACCGGAUAAGUCCGCAAGGAGAAAGAUUUAUCGCCGAAGGAUCGGCCCGCGUCUGAUUAGCUUGUUGGUGAGGUAACGGCUCACCAAGGCGACGAUCAGUAGCUGGUCUGAGAGGAUGAUCAGCCACACUGGGACUGAGACACGGCCCAGACUCCUACGGGAGGCAGCAGUUAGGAAUCUUGGACAAUGGGCGCAAGCCUGAUCCAGCCAUGCCGCGUGAGUGAUGAAGGCCCUAGGGUUGUAAAGCUCUUUCAGCGGGGAAGAUAAUGACGGUACCCGCAGAAGAAGCCCCGGCUAACUUCGUGCCAGCAGCCGCAGUAACAC